rnacentral:rRNA from 1 species
CGCCAGACUCCUACGGGAGGCAGCAGUGGGGGAUAUUGCACAAUGGGGGGAACCCUGAUGCAGCGACGCCGCGUGGGUGAAGGAGCGUUUCGGCGCGUAAAGCCCUCUCGGCAGGGAAGAAGGAGGACGGUACCUGACUAAGAAGCCCCGACUAACUACGUGCCAGCAGCCGCGGUAAUACGUAGGGGGCAAGCGUUAUCCGGAUUUACUGGGUGUAAAGGGGGCGCAGACGGCAGCGCAAGCCAGGAGUGAAAGCCCGAGGCCCAACCCCGGGACUGCUCUGGAAACUGCGUCGCUGGAGUACGGGAGGGGCAGGCGGAAUUCCUGGUGUAGCGGUGAAAUGCGUAGAUAUCAGGAGGAACACCGGCGGCGAAGGCGGCCUGCUGGACCGUGACUGACGUUGAGGCUCGAGAGCGUGGGGAGCAAACAGGAUUAGAUACCCGGGUA